CUUAGUACCAAGGACGCCGCUGCAGAGCCAACCCAACUGCGAGUGCGUCACCAGGAAACUGUUUGCCGCGUCCGCCUGCUGCCUCAAGGUGGAGCCCGUAACCUGACUCAGGAAUGUGUCGUCCCGCCAGGAGCCACACCCUGACGGCCGACUGCCUCCGGAUUAGUCUUGGCCACAUUCCCUACCACGCUAAAUCCCCUGCAGUAUUAAUAGCAACACGACCUCACGAGUUCUUAUUUGGUCCAUCUGAUAUGGAAGUUAUCAUAAAUACCUGAGUAGUCGUAAUGACUUUUUUCUAUCAGAAUUUUAAUCAGGUAAUUCAUCCUGAGGUGAUAUAUAUGGAAGUUUGGCCUCAUAAGCACCAUUAUCUUGUCGGAAAUCGUCACAAAUAUGAUUAUAGCUUUGAUGUUUUAUUUCAGCAAAUCGAAAUAGGAAAAAAUGGCCACAGAAACAGAUACAUAAAAAGAAAUCAGAUUAUUCUUAUGUGAUGAUAUCACGUGUGGUGGUAACUUUACUAUUCGUGAUAUAUAUUGAGUGUUUCUAGAUUUCCACUACACAGUUGGAAGGCCUUCGCUAGGGACUAACUACAUUUCAUUUUGAAAAGGACCCCACGUUUGGAAAGAGCCGUUUACUGUGCUACGGGAAUAAACGUGUAUACAAUGUGCUCCUCUCUCUUUAUAUAUCGAACGUCUUGUAAUACGGAAAUGGAUCCUUAAUAUAAUCGUAAUAUUUUGAAUCCUUAUUUGUAAUAAUUUGUGUACAUUAGUGGUCAGUAAACUAGUUUAUCUUUA